UUGAAGACAUCAAAACACGGCGGCGUACAUGAGUAAUUAUGUACGCGCAAACCGACUUAUAUCGGUAGAGUCCUGCAUGUAGUGGGAUAAUACCGAGGGAAGUCCACUCUUUUGUAAAGAGUGUGGAUGAGAUCUAGAAAAAAACUUGAAUGGGGACACAUACACCUUCUCCCUUGCGGACUCAAAAUCUGUCAGAGGGAUGUAAGACUAGUGCCUUGUACACACCGCCCAUUCAUCCACGCUCUACACUCUUUACAGAAGAGUGGUACACCCGUAGAGACUACACGUCGGUCUCCCGCUUACAGCGGGAUGAAGAUAUAGUCCAAUGCACGUAGUAAUACGUGA
rnacentral:ncRNA from 1 species